UACGAAGGGUGCAAACGUUGCUCGGAAUUAUUGGGCGUAAAGCGCACGUAGGCGGCAUCGCAAGUCGGAUGUGAAAUCUUAUGGCUUAACCAUAAAAGUGCAUCCGAAACUGCAGUGCUUGAGUACUUAAGAGGAUCGCGGAAUUCCCGGUGUAGAGGUGAAAUUCGUAGAUAUCGAGAGGAACACCGGUGGCGAAGGCGGCCUUCUGGACAGUGACUGACGCUGAGACGCGAAAGCGUGGGGAGCAAACAGG
rnacentral:rRNA from 1 species